ACUUAAAAAAUAAAAGAAUAUUCUGUUAACUUUAACGGAGAAGAACCAAAAUAUUCUGUUAAUUUAACGGAGAAGAACCAAAAUACAUUUUGCGAUUCCUCUUUCUUCUUUAACAAAACGCUAUUGCGAUUUGAGAGAAAGUUAGAUCAAUCGAAAAUGUGAGGAAGAGGAAAAAGAGGAAAGGGUUUGGGAAAGGGAGGACCCAAGAGGCAUCGCAAGGUUCUCAGGGACAACAUCCAGGGCAUCACCAAGCCCGCGAUUCGCCGUUUGGCCAGACGUGGCGGAGUUAAGCGUAUCAGCAGUCUCAUCUACGAGGAGACUCGCGGUGUACUCAAGAUCUUUCUCGAGAACGUUAUCCGUGACGCCGUUACUUACACUGAGCACGCUCGGCGGAAGACCGUCACCACCAUGGACGUCGUCUAUGCUUUGAAGAGACAAGGCCGUACUCUAUACAGAUUCGGAGGUUGAUGAGUGUGAGUCAGUCUAUGCUUUAAUCUUUUUAGGGUUUAUAAUUAUUGUUUUUGAGAUUUGCAAUUGGGAUUAAGCUUUUGGAAAUGCUCAGAUUUCAUUCUUGAGUUCUUUUACAUUGAAUAUGAAAUGCCUAUAUGAAAUGUCCAUAUAUAUGAAAAUAAUCCGUAUCAGAAAAUAAUCAUGGGGUUUUGGUUUUGAACAACUUUUAUGUCAUAACUAUUAUAUGGGUUUUGGUUUUGCUUCAUUAUUUAUAUAUUUGGGAGUAGAGUAUUUGAAAACUGAAAUUGGAUUCUUGGUCCUUAUCCAAACAUGAAUCUGUCCAAAUUUGUUAAGGACCUCUCGCCGUGCCAAUGAUUUACAGUGAGUUUGUUGUUUGAAUUUUAUUCCUUUUCUAUUGUUAAUUGAACUUUUAUUGCCAUUGAAUUACAAUAUACGAAGUUUUUCAAUUGUGGCUAUGGCAACUUUGUGGGUUUUGUUUAAUUUGGUGAAGUUCUCAAAAUCUCUGGUUCUAAAUAGGUAAAUUUCACACAAAGACUUUCAGGCAGUCUUGCAAUUUCAUCGCUCACACCAGCUUGUUGAGAUUAUUGACAUUCUUGUUGAGAUUUGCUACUGUGUUUUGAGUUGGAUUGGAGAUAUUUUAUUUAAUGGGCUUUAUUGAUUAUAAUCGGUAGAUAUUAGAUAAUGAACUGUGUAUUGCUUUAUUGGUUAUUGUUUAUUAGAUUUUUACGGAUUUUAUGCCAAUGGCGUUUAAAUUUGUUAUGAUACAAGGGAGAUUCAAAGUUAUGAUACAAGGGAGAUUCAAGAUUUUUGCUUGGCAAAUGCAUGUCUGAUUUUCUGUACUGUCUCAAGCUCAGCUAAACUACACAAGACAGAAAUGGUUCCUUUUGAAGUAUUGAUUAUAGAUGAGGCUGCUCAGUUGAAAGAAUGUGAAUCAACAAUUCCUUUACAACUUCUUGGAACUCGUCAUGCUAUACUUAUAGGCAAUGAGAGGCAAUUACCAGCAAUGGUUAAAAGCCAGGUUUCAGCAAAAGCCAAUUUCGGAAGAAGUUUGUUUGAGAGAUUGGCUUUGCUUGGCCAUAAGAAACACCUUCUCAAUGUCCAGCACAGGAUGCACCUUUUAAUCAGUUCUUUUCCAAAUAAGCAGUUUUAUAACAAUGAGAUUUUUGAUGGUCAGAAUGUUAAAGAGAGGAGUUACAGCCAAUGUUUUCUGCAAGGAAAGAUGUAUGGCUCUUACUCUUUCAUAAAUGUGCCAUAUGAAAAAGAGACUGUUGAUAACAAGCAUAGUAGCAAGAACAAAAUUGAGGCUUUUGUUGUCUCUGAGAUAGUUGCAAAGCUUUAUGAAGGUGUGUAAUAAUUGAUGCAUACUCUUAUUUUCUUUCUUUCUUGACGUCGUCUACUCUGCACUCAGCUAGAGGUAACAACGUGGAUUAAGCAUUGAUAUUUUUAAUCUCCAUGCUCUGAUUUUUUUAGUGAUGUUUCUUUGAGUUACACUAAUGGUAUUGUUGUAGUUUGAAUUUGAAGUUGCAUAAUGAGAUUCUUUUAAUGUGAAAUUGGCAGACUAUAGUAAUAGGGGUAACAUUCUUGGCUUUUGAUACCUAUGAUUCGCCGCCACAUAGGCCAUUGAUGAAAAGAUAAGAGAACUUUCAAAUGUUACAUUGCGUAGCAGGGAAUGACUUUCAAAAGUUUUUAAAAAAACUUCUCACUGAGGAUUUCCCACGACUAUUUGUACGACCAAGAUUGUUUUAGAUUUCCAAAAAGGUAAAGCAGUUGGCCCAGAUGCAAAUAAUUCAAAAUCUAAAGAGAUAGAAGGAACAAAACCAGGAGAGCAAGAAGGAAACAAGGAUUUUGUUGGAAAGCUUAUGCAAACAGGGCUAUGGCGUAUCUGAAGGUCAAAAGGCAAGUUUAUGUCAAGCACUGCUGUAUUGUUUGGCGCAGUUAGAUUAUUAAAAGAUAUUUGAACCAAAUGCUGUAUAAGUAUUUUAAUGCUGUAUAACCCAAUGACGUUUACAAUUUUGUGACCUCGCCAGUUAACUUUGUCGUUCCUCUUCCUCAGUCAUCUCUCAACUGACCCAGUGGAGGAGCAUUGUUUAUAAAAUAAUCUACAAUUAGUUACUGAA